UGUGAUUCAUUAUUGUAGGCAAGCAAGCUUGAUCCUGAAGAUGUAAUCUUGCAUUCAAAUAGGAGCAUUUGCUGGAUUAACUUGGGUGAAGGAGACAAGGCCUUGGAGGCAGCCGAAAUGUGCAGGAUGAUACGUCCUGAUUGGCCAAAGGCGUGUUACAGGCAAGGGGCUGCCCAAAUGUUUUUGAAGAACUAUGAAAAGGCAUGUGAUGCAUUUCAAGAUGGUCUGAAGUUGGACCCAACAAAUGUUGAGAUUGAGAACGCAUUAUGGGAGGCAUUCAACUCGCUCAAGAUAUCUCGUGCCAAAGCGGUCUCAUGAACCGUCAUCCUUUGAUCAGAAGAGACCUACCCAAGGGCAGGCUGUUUCUGUG